GACAAGGCUUCAUCAGACGGCCAUGGGCGUCUGCAUUCUUAGCGAACCAGAAACCGGCGACACAAAGGAUGAAACAGAGGUACUUCACCAUCUUGCCAGCCGUGAGGUGUUGACGUGUCUCCGAUUCCUAGCAAAAGGAGACUACCUUUCAGAAGUAGCUGAUAUUCACAGAAUCUCGAAGUCAUCAGGGUGUAUAAUUGUUCAUCUUGUAAUUGAUGCCAUUUGUAUCUUAUGAAAUUUAGUAAAACUCAGCCCUGGAGUCGAAAAUAUUAAACGUUUAUGGACAGACGGGCGGACAGACUGUCGCCGGACAAAAAGUUAAUAGAGUAGCUCAAUUGAGUUUUCAGUUCAAGUGAGCUUAUAAAAACUUUUUUCGCAUUUGUUCCAUUGGAUAUGAUCCUCAGGAAUAAAAUGAGCUUAGCUCUGUGAUAAACCAAGAACUAACGAAGAUAAUAUGAUCUUUUAUUCACAUGUGUCAUUUGAACAUCAUUAUUCGCUAACAGGUAAUGUUCAAAAUACAACUGGAAAACAGAUAUUUACAAAUCUAAUGGAACCCCC